UUCCGUAGGUAAACCUGCGGAAGGAUCAUUAA
rnacentral:rRNA from 1 species